CCGGGGCGGGGCACGGCCCUGGGCGGCCCGGAACCCGCAGGUUUCCCGCCCACGCCGCGGCCAGGCCUUAAAAUCCCUUCCCCGCCCCUGGCUGAGCCUCACGCCCUCGGGGGUGUCCACCCCUGCCUGAGCAGCGGGACCCGCCGCUCCCCGCGAGCAGGAAGGGGACCAGGGGCCCCGCGAGGGCGGGCGGCGGAGGAGGAGGAGGCGGAGGCGGGGCUGCGGCGCGCACGCAGGGCCUGGUCGGUGUCAUGGCCGCGUCCCGGCUGCCUCCGGCGGCGCUGACACUGAAGCAGUUCUUGAGACGGCAGCAGGUUCUUCAGUUAUACAGAAGAAUUCUCCAGGCUAUUCGUCAGGUACCUACCGAAACUGAUCGGCACUAUCUAAAGGAGUGGGCAAGGGAAGAAUUCAAAAGAAAUAAAGAUGCAACAGAUGAGGAUGCAAUUAGGAUGAUGAUUACUCAGGGCAACAUGCAGCUUCAGGAGCUUGAGAGAACACUUCAGCUGGCAAACUCCUAACCUUAAUUCUGAGAGCCAAUGGACUUUCAUCCACUGUGAGAAGUACAGUACUUUCUCCAGGAUGCAGCACCUCAUCUUAUGCAAAGAUACCGCACUACACGCUGCCUCACUAGCUGGCUGAUUCCCAAUGUUUCCUUUGAAGCCUGUGGUCUUUAUCAUAUUGCCAACAAUCAGCAUCAUGAGGAGAAAGUCAGACUCCUGGCUCAGAGAUGAUCUACUUAUGUCAAAUGAAUACUGACUAUGUAUCUGUAUUUCAACUAUGCUGCUUUGGGUGAUGCCCACUGCUAACACUUCAAGUACUACAAUGGAAAAGCCAGACAGGGCGGCUGGCCCAUCAGCGAGGACAAUGGACUGUGAAAAGGCUUGGCCUUCCUGCCAAUGCUCCAUACUGCCACUGACUCAUGGAUGCUGUGACACUACUAGGUCAGGUGGUCUUGUCACCUGAUACUAAACAUUACCUAGGACUUCUUGUAACUUUCCACUGGAAGGGAAGGGGGGGGGUCAAGUUUGGGAAACAAAUCCUAUUUAACGGGGGAGGGGGAAUAAGGCAAAGGGAGCUCCUCCUCUUCAUGGCCUGUCUGCCCAAGAAGAGAGACUGCUAAAGCAACCUGAAGGGAAGGCAAGGGGGGAGUCCAGACUGAGAUAGGUGUCCAGUCUGAAAAUAUAACUGGAACUCUGAACCACAGAAACUUUGCAACCUGCCUAAAAUAAUAUUUAGGAUAAGAAAUUACAUUUUGUAAGCUGUUUCUUAAGUAUAUUGAGCUUAGCUUGCGGAUUUUGCUUUAGUUGGUCAGUAAUCUGCUUUGUUCUGUCUAUUAUCUCUUAUAUUCACUUUUGUAGUUAAUAAAAUUUGUUUUGUUUAUUA